GUGGGGAAUAUUGGACAAUGGGGGGAACCCUGAUCCAGCCAUGCCGCGUGUGUGAAGAAGGCCUUUUGGUUGUAAAGCACUUUAAGCGAGGAGGAGGCUACCGAGAUUAAUACUCUUGGAUAGUGGACGUUACUCGCAGAAUAAGCACCGGCUAACUCUGUGCCAGCAGCCGCGGUAAUACAGAGGGUGCAAGCGUUAAUCGGAUUUACUGGGCGUAAAGCGCGCGUAGGUGGCCAAUUAAGUCAAAUGUGAAAUCCCCGAGCUUAACUUGGGAAUUGCAUUCGAUACUGGGUGGCUAGAGUAUGGGAGAGGAUGGUAGAAUUCCAGGUGUAGCGGUGAAAUGCGUAGAGAUCUGGAGGAAUACCGAUGGCGAAGGCAGCCAUCUGGCCUAAUACUGACACUGAGGUGCGAAAGCAUGGGGAGCAAACAGGAUUAGAUACCCCUGUAGUCC
rnacentral:rRNA from 1 species